AUAUGUAAGUUAGUGGCGGACGGGUGAGUAACGCGUGGGUAACCUGCCUUGUACGUGGGGAUAACAGUCGGAAACGACUGCUAAUACCGCAUGAUGCAUUUGGGCUGCAUGGCUCUGAAUGCCAAAGAUUUAUCGCUCUGAGAUGGACUCGCGUCUGAUUAGCUAGUUGGUGAGGUAACGGCUCACCAAGGCGACGAUCAGUAGCCGGACUGAGAGGUUGAACGGCCACAUUGGGACUGAGACACGGCCCAGACUCC
rnacentral:rRNA from 2 species